UACGUAGGUGGCAAGCGUUGUCCGGAAUUAUUGGGCGUAAAGCGCGCGCCGGUGGUUUCUUAAGUCUGAUGUGAAAGCCCACGGCUCAACCGUGGAGGGUCAUUGGAAACUGGGGAACUUGAGUGCAGAAGAGGAAAGUGGAAUUCCAAGUGUAGCGGUGAAAUGCGUAGAGAUUUGGAGGAACACCAGUGGCGAAGGCGACUGUCGGGUCUGUAACUGACACUGAGGCGCGAAAGCUAGGGGAGCGAACGGG
rnacentral:rRNA from 1 species